UAAUAUCAAAAUUAUUGAAAAAUUGAAAUUGUAUUAGUAUUAUUAUCAUAAUAAUUAAUAUAAGUAGGUAUUGUAUUAAUAUUAUUAAUCUUGUUUUGUGGCACUUACAAAAUUUAACUUAUUUAAUGUUUUAAAGGAAUACAAGAAAAAAUCUAAGUAUUUCACUUGCUAAAAAGUGUUUAAAAAAAAUAUAUAUAUACAUAUA